UCAAAGGAAUUGACGGGGGCCCGCACAAGCGGCGGAGCAUGUGGCUUAAUUCGACGCAACGCGAAGAACCUUACCAAGGCUUGACAUACACCGGAAAGCAUUAGAGAUAGUGCCCCCCUUGUGGUCGGUGUACAGGUGGUGCAUGGCUGUCGUCAGCUCGUGUCGUGAGAUGUUGGGUUAAGUCCCGCAACGAGCGCAACCCUUGUCCCGUGUUGCCAGCAAGCCCUUCGGGGUGUUGGGGACUCACGGGAGACCGCCGGGGUCAACUCGGAGGAAGGUGGGGACGACGUCAAGUCAUCAUGCCCCUUAUGUCUUGGGCUGCACACGUGCUACAAUGGCCGGUACAAUGAGCUGCGAUACCGCGAGGUGGAGCGAAUCUCAAAAAGCCGGUCUCAGUUCGGAUUGGGGUCUGCAACUCGACCCCAUGAAGUCGGAGUCGCUAGUAAUCGCAGAUCAGCAUUGCUGCGGUGAAUACGUUCCCGGGCCUUGUACACACCGCCCGUCACGUCACGAAAGUCGGUAACACCCGAAGCCGGUGGCCCAACCCCUUGUGGGAGGGAGCUGUCGAAGGUGGGACUGGCGAUUGGGACG
rnacentral:rRNA from 1 species